AUCAACUUUCGAUGGUAGGAUAGAGGCCUACCAUGGUGGUAACGGGUAACGGGGUGUUAGGGCACGACACCGGAGAGGGAGCNUGAGAAACGGCUACCACAUCCAAGGAUGGCAGCAGGCGCGCAAAUUACCCAAUCCCGACACGGGGAGGUAGUGACAAUAAAUAACAAUACGGGGUUCUUUAGGAUUUCGUAAUUGGAAUGAGUACAAUUUAAAUCUCUUAACGAGGAACAAUUGGAGGGCAAGUCUGGUGCCAGCAGCCGCGGUAAUUCCAGCUCCAAUAGCGUAUAUUAAAGUUGUUGCAGUUAAAAAGCUCGUAGUUGAAUUUCGGGAUCAUCAGGUUGGUCGUGCCUCUGGUAUGUACUGAUUUCGAUGGUCCCUCCUUCUUGAAGAGCCGUAAUGCCAUUAAUUUGGUGUUGCGGGGAAUCAGGACUGUUACUUUGAAAAAAUUAGAGUGUUUAAAGCAGGCAAUCGCUUGAAUACAUUAGCAUGGAAUAAUGAAAUAGGACGUUCGAUCCUAUUUUGUUGGUUUCUAGGAUUGACGUAAUGAUUAAUAGGGAUAGUUGGGGGCAUUAGUAUUCAAUUGUCAGAGGUGAAAUUCUUGGAUUUAUUGAAGACUAACUACUGCGAAAGCAUUUGCCAAGGAUGUUUUCAUUAAUCAAGAACGAAAGUUAGGGGAUCGAAGACGAUCAGAUACCGUCGUAGUCUUAACCAUAAACUAUGCCGACUAGGGAUCGGAUGAUGUUAAUUUUUUAAUGACUCAUUCGGCGCCUUACGGGAAACCAAAGUGUUUGGGUUC
rnacentral:rRNA from 1 species